GAUGAACGCUGGCGGCGUGCCUAAUACAUGCAAGUCGAGCGAACGGACGAGAAGCUUGCUUCUCUGAUGUUAGCGGCGGACGGGUGAGUAACACGUGGAUAACCUACCUAUAAGACUGGGAUAACUUCGGGAAACCGGAGCUAAUACCGGAUAAUAUUUUGAACCGCAUGGUUCAAAAGUGAAAGACGGUCUUGCUGUCACUUAUAGAUGGAUCCGCGCUGCAUUAGCUAGUUGGUAAGGUAACGGCUUACCAAGGCAACGAUGCAUAGCCGACCUGAGAGGGUGAGCGGCCACACUGGAACUGAGACACGUUCCAGACUCCUACGGGAGGCAGCAGUAGGGAAUCUUCCGCAAUGGGCGAAAGCCUGACGGAGCAACGCCGCGUGAGUGAUGAAGGUCUUCGGAUCGUAAAACUCUGUUAUUAGGGAAGAACAUAUGUGUAAGUAACUGUGCACAUCUUGACGGUACCUAAUCAGAAAGCCACGGCUAACUACGUG
rnacentral:rRNA from 1 species